rnacentral:rRNA from 1 species
GCGACCGCAUGGUCAGUAGCUGGAAAGAAUUUCGGUCAGGGGAUGAGCUCGCGGCCUAUCAGCUUGUUGGUGAGGUAAGUGGCUCACCAAGGCGUCGACGGGUAGCCGGGCCUGAGAGGGUGACCGGCCGACACUGGGACUGAGACACGGCCCAGACUCCUACGGGAGGCAGCAGUGGGGAAUAUUGCACAAUGGGCGAAAGCCUGAUGCAGCAACGCCGCGUGAGGGAUGACGGCCUUCGGGUUGUAAACCUCUUUUAGCAGGGAAGAAGCGAAAGUGACGGUACCUGCAGAAAAGCGCCGGCUAACUACGUGCCAGCAGC